GCACCGAAGCAUCAACUAUCUUGGAACUCUGCCAACUAGAACCUCGGCCUCAACUGACACAUCCAAACUAAUGGCUGAGUGUCUUUUUUAGCAGCAUCAAGCAACUCCUUUACAAUACCACCCAAAGUAAUUUUCCUGAAGAAAUUCUCCUUGUAUCUAACUUCAUUCAGGUUCUUGGGGCUUGCCAAAUAGCCAGCAAUGUGACCUUAACUUGGUCAGUUGACAUCUCUGGUCUUAAGUUUCCUAAUCUGCAACAUUUGAAGGUUUAUUUUCUAAACGUUUUUACUUUAGUACUAAUUUCUGUGAGACAAUCAAGCUAUUCAAUGUUAGGUUGAGGUAUGUAAAUCAUUCCUGCCAGCCUUUGUACGAGGUGGUUCUGGUAUCACUGUGGCCCAGCAUGUGUCUGUCUAUCAGUGUUGGCAGGCAAGGUCACUAAGGCUGGUUUGAAGUUUCUGUGCCUUGAAAUUUCUUAUGUCAUGGAGUCACCUGACAUUCAGAUCAAAGGCCGACUCCGCUCUAUGUUUGAUGAUCCUUGCAGCAAGCACAGAUCAAGGUUCCUGUGACCUGCAGCAAUUGGAUUACAAGAUUAGAUCAAUUUGCAAAGUACACCAAGAUCACAGCAGUUGCCAUCCAUUAGAUAAAGAUGAACAAGAUGGAGGGGUGCAGGAUGCUUGGUGAAUACAGAACAUACCACCUGUGCUUUGGAACUGCCUUCCCCACUGUCAUGGCAUGCUAGAAGGGGAUGGAGACCUAGAAAUCGUUCAGACCCUCACUAGUUAAAGUGUGGUCCGUGCACCAGCGGCAUCAGCAUCACCUGGGAACUUGUCAGAAAUGCAGCAUCUCAGCCUCCACCCCAGACCUCCUGACCAGAAUCCGCAUUUUAACACAGUAUGCAGCCGCUGAGACAAGUGAUGUCACCUGCCAAUACUGUAGAUUGAAUAACCAGGGAAGGCUGAGGAAUGCAAGUGAAUGUAAAAACCACCUGGAGGGAAGCAUUGCAGCAAGAAAGGAACAGCAAGUGCAGAGGCCUGAGGCAGAACCAGCAGGGAAAAUGCUUUGAGGUGAGGCAGGUUCCAUGAAAACCUGGAAGAAAUAUUCCUGAGGACCAUCCAACACCAUUUCCCUGAGAGACAAGCUGUAAGUGCUGUUCUAGUUACAGAUCCGAGUCCCUGGUACAUUGAUAUCAAGUAAGGGUGCAUGCAGCUCAGAAGGCAGUUUCCAUUACACUGGACAAGAGUGUGGCUGCCUGAGUCCUAGAACUGCAGUGGCUUCUGCUGACAAUGUGAGGAGUAGCUGCCCUGUCCAGAGUGUGGCCCCGCACGCUGCCCCCUCCCCUGGAGGGACUGAAGAGAACAGCUUGGAGCAUGCCCUUCCCUUUCCCUUAUCUCGCCCACUAUGCUAAUGCUGCUCAUCCCUCAAGAUCCGAGUUAUUCCUCCUCAAUUCAAUACACACCAAUCAACUG
rnacentral:lncRNA from 1 species